rnacentral:rRNA from 1 species
UGGGGAAUUUUGGACAAUGGGGGAAACCCUGAUCCAGCCAUCCCGCGUGUGCGAUGAAGGCCUUCGGGUUGUAAAGCACUUUUGGCAGGAAAGAAACGUCGCGGGUUAAUACCCCGCGAAACUGACGGUACCUGCAGAAUAAGCACCGGCUAACUACGUGCCAGCAGCCGCGGUAAUACGUAGGGUGCAAGCGUUAAUCGGAAUUACUGGGCGUAAAGCGUGCGCAGGCGGUUCGGAAAGAAAGAUGUGAAAUCCCAGAGCUUAACUUUGGAACUGCAUUUUUAACUACCGGGCUAGAGUGUGUCAGAGGGAGGUGGAAUUCCGCGUGUAGCAGUGAAAUGCGUAGAUAUGCGGAGGAACACCGAUGGCGAAGGCAGCCUCCUGGGAUAACACUGACGCUCAUGCACGAAAGCGUGGGGAGCAAACAGGAUUAGAUACCCUGGUAGUCCACGCCCUAAACGAUGUCAACUAGCUGUUGGGGCCUUCGGCCUUGGUAGCGCAGCUAACGCGUGAAGUUGACCGCCUGGGGAGUACGGUCGCAAGAUU